UGGGGAAUUUUGCGCAAUGGGCGAAAGCCUGACGCAGCAACGCCGCGUGUGUGAUGAAGGUCUUCGGAUUGUAAAGCACUUUCGACCGGGACGAAAACCCUCUGGCUAACAUCCAGGGGCUUGACGGUACCGGGAGAAGAAGCACCGGCUAACUCUGUGCCAGCAGCCGCGGUAAUACAGAGGGUGCAAGCGUUGUUCGGAAUUAUUGGGCGUAAAGCGCGUGUAGGCGGCUUUGCAAGUCGGGUGUGAAAGCCCUCAGCUCAACUGAGGAAGUGCGCCCGAAACUGCAGAGCUUGAGUGCCGGAGAGGGUGGCGGAAUUCCCCAAGUAGAGGUGAAAUUCGUAGAUAUGGGGAGGAACACCGGUGGCGAAGGCGGCCACCUGGACGGUAACUGACGCUGAGACGCGAAAGCGUGGGGAGCAAACAGG
rnacentral:rRNA from 2 species